AGAAUGAACGUUGGCGGCGUGGAUUAGGCAUGCAAGUCGUACGGGCCGCAAGGCCAGUGGCGCAAGGGUGAGUAAGGCGACGGUAACCAACCCCAUGACUGGGUAUAGCCGCGGGAAACUGCGGGUAAUCCCCAGCGACGUCCCGGGGGGGCAUCCCCCCAGGACCAAAGCUCCGGCGUCGUGGGACGGGCCGUCGUGGUAUUAGGUCGUUGGCGGGGUAACGGCCCACCAAGCCUGCGAUGCCUACCGGGCGUGCGAGCGUGGCCCGGCACACUGGGACUGAGACACUGCCCAGACUCCUACGGGAGGCUGCAGUCGAGAAUCUUCGGCAAUGGGCGCAAGCCUGACCGAGCGACGCCGCGUGGAGGACGAAGGCCUUCGGGUUGUAAACUCCUGUCGAGGGGGAAGAAGGCCCGUAAGGGGCUUGACUGAUCCCUGGAGGAAGCACGGGCUAAGUUCGUGCCAGCAGCCGC
rnacentral:rRNA from 1 species